AUUGAACGCUGGCGGCAGGCCUAACACAUGCAAGUCGAGCGGAUGAAGGGAGCUUGCUCCUGGAUUCAGCGGCGGACGGGUGAGUAAUGCCUAGGAAUCUGCCUGGUAGUGGGGGAUAACGUCCGGAAACGGGCGCUAAUACCGCAUACGUCCUGAGGGCGAACGUGGGGGAUCUUCGGACCUCACGCUAUCAGAUGAGCCUAGGUCGGAUUAGCUAGUUGGUGGGGUAAAGGCCUACCAAGGCGACGAUCCGUAACUGGUCUGAGAGGAUGAUCAGUCACACUGGAACUGAGACACGGUCCAGACUCCUACGGGAGGCAGCAGUGGGGAAUAUUGGACAAUGGGCGAAAGCCUGAUCCAGCCAUGCCGCGUGUGUGAAGAAGGUCUUCGGAUUGUAAAGCACUUUAAGUUGGGAGGAAGGGCAGUAAGUUAAUACCUUGCUGUUUUGACGUUACCAACAGAAUAAGCACCGGCUAACUUCGUG
rnacentral:rRNA from 1 species